rnacentral:rRNA from 1 species
UGGGGAAUUUUGGACAAUGGGCGAAAGCCUGAUCCAGCAAUGCCGCGUGUGUGAAGAAGGCCUUCGGGUUGUAAAGCACUUUUGUCCGGAAAGAAAUCCUUGGCUCUAAUACAGUCGGGGGAUGACGGUACCGGAAGAAUAAGCACCGGCUAACUACGUGCCAGCAGCCGCGGUAAUACGUAGGGUGCAAGCGUUAAUCGGAAUUACUGGGCGUAAAGCGCGCGCAGGCGGUUUGCUAAGACCGAUGUGAAAUCCCCGGGCUCAACCUGGGAACUGCAUUGGUGACUGGCAGGCUAGAGUAUGGCAGAGGGGGAUAGAAUUCCACGUGUAGCAGUGAAAUGCGUAGAGAUGUGGAGGAAUACCGAUGGCGAAGGCAGCCCCCUGGGCCAAUACUGACGCUCAUGCACGAAAGCGUGGGGAGCAAACAGGAUUAGAUACCCUGGUAGUCCACGCCCUAAACGAUGUCAACUAGUUGUUGGGGAUUCAUUUCCUUAGUAACGUAGCUAACGCGUGAAGUUGACCGCCUGGGGAGUACGGUCGCAAGAUUAAAACUUAAAUGAAUUGACGGGGUCAUAGCUGUUUCCU